GGCGCAAGCGCAGACGGCCAUAAGAUGGCGUCCGUGGCGGCUGCCCGAGCAGUUCCUGUGGGCCGUGGGCUCCGGGACCUGCAACGAACCCUACCUCUUGUAGUGAUUCUCGGGGCCACGGGCACCGGCAAAUCCACGCUGGCAUUGCAGCUAGGCCAGCGGCUCGGUGGUGAGAUCGUCAGCGCUGACUCCAUGCAGGUCUAUGAAGGCCUAGACAUCAUCACCAACAAGGUUUCUGCCCAGGAGCAGAGAAUCUGCCGGCACCACAUGAUCAGCUUUGUGGAUCCUCUUGUGACCAAUUACACAGUGGUGGACUUCAGAAAUAGAGCAAGUGCUCUGAUUGAAGAUAUAUUUGCCCGAGACAAAAUUCCUAUUGUUGUGGGAGGAACUAAUUAUUACAUUGAAUCUCUGCUCUGGAAAGUUCUUAUCAAUACCAAGCCCCCGGAGAUGGGCACUGAGGAAGUGAUUGACCGAAAAGUGGAGCUUGAAAAGGAGGAUGGUCUUGUACUUCACAAACGCCUAAGCCAAGUGGACCCAGAAAUGGCCGCCAAGCUGCAUCCACAUGACAAACGCAAAGUGGCCAGGAGCUUGCAAGUUUUUGAAGAAACAGGAAUCUCUCAUAGUGAAUUUCUCCAUCGUCAACAUGCAGAAGAAGGUGGUGGUCCCCUUGGAGGCCCUCUUAAGUUCUCUAACCCUUGCAUCCUCUGGCUUCAUGCUGACCAGGCAGUUCUAGAUAAGCGCUUGGAUAAGAGGGUGGAUGACAUGCUUGCUGCUGGGCUCUUGGAGGAACUAAGAGAUUUUCACAGACGCUAUAAUCAGGAGAAUGUUUCGGAAAAUAGCCAGGACUAUCAACAUGGUAUCUUCCAAUCAAUUGGCUUCAAGGAAUUUCACGAGUACCUGAUCACUGAGGGAAAAUGCACACUGGAGACUAGUAACCAGCUUCUAAAGAAAGGUAUUGAGGCUCUGAAACAAGUAACCAAGAAAUAUGCCCGGAAGCAAAACCGAUGGGUUAAAAACCGUUUUCUGAGCAUUCGCAGAUUCUGCGGCUCAUUGACUGAUAUAAUUCCAGCCCAUGCUGUCAAGGAAUUUCAUGAGUCCCAGGCCGCUGAGGCAGUAUAUCCAAACCCAAGACUAGUAUCUGCUCCUAAAAAAAGCUGUGAAUUCUCUUGCCACAGAUCGCCAUCAUUGACCCGGUCCCAGUGCCCCCCCUGUCUAUGGCUUAGAGGUAUCUGAUGUCUCGAAGUGGGAAGAGUCUGUUCUCGAACCUGCUCUUGAAAUCGUGCAAAGUUUCAUCCAGGGCCGCAAGCCUACAGCCACUCCAAUAAAGAUGCCAUACAACGAAGCUGAGAACAAGAGAAGUUAUCACAUGUGUAACAUCUGUGACCGAAUCAUCAUUGGGGAUCGUGAAUGGGCAGCUCAUAUAAAAUCCAAAUCCCACUUGAACCAACUGAAGAAAAGAAGAAGAUUGGAUUCAGAUGCUGUCAACACCAUGGAAAGUCAGAGUAUUUCCCUAGACCAUGACAAAGAACCUAAAGAGAAGGGAUCCCCAGGGCAGAAUGAUCAAAAGUUGAAAUGCUGCAUUUAAGAGACUUGUCCGGUGGCCUUUGCAAAUGUGGCAAGGAUCCAGUUCAGGAGGGAGUGUUAUGUCUGUCUCCCAGUCUGGGCAGAGAGUGCCAUGUAGAAUUGCCUGCAUAGGAGAAAAGCUCUCACCGUUUUCUUUCAUUCAGUGGUGUGGUUUUAAAGUCUCAUGUUCUCUGUAAUGGAAACAGCAGGUCUUGUCAGCUCCUUGUGUGGCUGAUGUGUCUGGAAAUGAUGUAGUUCAGGAAAGCAUUUUUUUUUUCUUUGAAACUUAAAGAUUCUUUUUUUAAUAAGGCACGGAUUCCACAUUUUUGUAUGUGAGGAUCUUUUUAGUGGUGAAUACCAGGACUGACUAUAUCCCUUUAAAGAAGUUUUAUUAUGGCCAAAAUUAUCUAAAUUCCAGAUGCUUUUGUAGAUGACUGAAGUAUUUGUGAGCCACAUAUCAGGAGCUCUAGAUUUGAGUGAAUAGCAGGAAAGGACCAUCCCCAUUGAGAUGAUUAAGUGAACCACUCUAGUUCUCGGAAUUCUACAGAAGGAAUCAGACUGAGGAAGCUGUGACAUGGGACUUGAAGAAUAAAGACUUUGAAAUUGGCGAGCUGCUCAUAUGUAAUAGUUAUUAUCACUGCUGUCUUUCUGUUGAAUUACAAAUCCAUAUUAUUUUUAUUGAAGGUUAAAUAAAGAAAAAAUUUACAAGAGCCUCUGUGAUCC